UACGUAGGGGGCUAGCGUUGUCCGGAUUUAUUGGGCGUAAAGAGCGUGUAGGCGGCCAGGUAGGUCUGCUGUGAAAACUCGAGGCUCAACCUCGAGACGUCGGCGGAAACCAUCUGGCUAGAGUCCGGAAGAGGAGAGUGGAAUUCCUGGUGUAGCGGUGAAAUGCGCAGAUAUCAGGAGGAACACCGGUGGCGAAGGCGGCGUGCUGGACCCCAUCUGACGCUGAGGCGCGAAAGCCAGGGGAGCAAACGGG
rnacentral:rRNA from 1 species